GGUCAAUGGACGUAAGUCUGAACCAGCCAAGUAGCGAGCAGGAUUGACGGCCCUAUGGGUUGUAAACUGCUUUUGUUGGGGAGUAAAGUGAGGCACGCGUGCCUUUUUGCAUUUACCCUUCGAAUAAGGACCGGCUAAUUCCGUGCCAGCAGCCGCGGUAAUACGGAAGGUCCAGGCGUUAUCCGGAUUUAUUGGGUUUAAAGGGAGUGUAGGCGGUCUGUUAAGCGUGUUGUGAAAUUUAGGUGCUCAACAUCUAACUUGCAGCGCGAACUGGCGGACUUGAGUGCACGCAACGUAUGCGGAAUUCAUGGUGUAGCGGUGAAAUGCUUAGAUAUCAUGACGAACUCCGAUUGCGAAGGCAGCGUACGGGAGUGUUACUGACGCUUAAGCUCGAAGGUGCGGGUAUCGAACAGGAUUAGAUACCCUGGUAGUCCGCACGGUAAACGAUGGAUGCCCGCUGUUAGCGCCUGGCGUUAGCGGCUAAGCGAAAGCAUUAAGCAUCCCACCUGGGGAGUACGCCGGCAACGGUGGAACUCAAAGGAAUUGACGGGGGCCCGCACAAGCGGAGGAACAUGUGGUUUAAUUUGAUGAUACGCGAGGGAACCUUACCCCGGGCUUGAAUUGCAGACGCAGGAAACAGAGAUGUUGACUCCCUUCGGGGCGUCUGUGAAGGUGCUGCAUGGUUGUCGUCAGCUCGUGCC
rnacentral:rRNA from 1 species